rnacentral:rRNA from 1 species
CCUGGCUCAGGACGAACGCUGGCGGCGUGCUUAACACAUGCAAGUCGAGCGGUAAGGCCCUUCGGGGUACACGAGCGGCGAACGGGUGAGUAACACGUGGGUGAUCUGCCCUGCACUUCGGGAUAAGCCUGGGAAACUGGGUCUAAUACCGGAUAUGAGCCUCCACUGCAUGGUGGGGGUUGGAAAGGUUUACUGGUGCAGGAUGGGCCCGCGGCCUAUCAGCUUGUUGGUGGGGUAAUGGCCUACCAAGGCGACGACGGGUAGCCGGCCUGAGAGGGCGACCGGCCACACUGGGACUGAGACACGGCCCAGACUCCUACGGGAGGCAGCAGUGGGGAAUAUUGCACAAUGGGCGAAAGCCUGAUGCAGCGACGCCGCGUGAGGGAUGACGGCCUUCGGGUUGUAAACCUCUUUCAGCAGGGACGAAGCGAGAGU